rnacentral:rRNA from 1 species
UGGGGAAUUUUGGACAAUGGGCGAAAGCCUGAUCCAGCAAUGCCGCGUGUGUGAAGAAGGCCUUCGGGUUGUAAAGCACUUUUGUCCGGAAAGAAAUGGCUCUGGUUAAUACCUGGGGUCGAUGACGGUACCGGAAGAAUAAGGACCGGCUAACUACGUGCCAGCAGCCGCGGUAAUACGUAGGGUCCAAGCGUUAAUCAGAAUUACUGGGCGUAAAGCGUGCGCAGGCGGUUGUGCAAGACCGAUGUAAAAUCCCCGAGCUUAACUUGGGACUUGCAUUGGGGACUGCACGGCUAGAGUUUGUCAGAGGGGGGUAGAAUUCCACGUGUAGCAGUGAAAUGCGUAGAGAUGUGGAUGAAUACCGAUGGCGAAGGCAGCCCCCUGGGAUAACACUGACGAUCAUGCACGAAAGCGUGUGGAGCAAACAGG